AGAGUUUGAUCCUGGCUCAGGAUGAACGCUAGCGACAGGCCUAACACAUGCAAGUCGAGGGGUAACAGGGGCUUCGGCCCGCUGACGACCGGCGCACGGGUGAGUAACGCGUAUGCAACCUGCCUGUAACAGCGGGAUAGCUCCCUGAAAGGGGAAUUAACACCGCAUAAGACCACGCUCUCGCAUGGGGACGGGGUAAAAUAUUUAUAGGUUACAGAUGGGCAUGCGUGACAUUAGUUAGUUGGUGAGGUAACGGCUCACCAAGACUGCGAUGUCUAGGGGUUCUGAGAGGAAGGUCCCCCACACUGGAACUGAGACACGGUCCAGACUCCUACGGGAGGCAGCAGUGAGGAAUAUUGGUCAAUGGACGCAAGUCUGAACCAGCCAUGUCGCGUGCAGGAUGACUGCCCUACGGGUUGUAAACUGCUUUUAUAUUGGAAGAAUUGCGCUUACGAGUUAAGCGUUUGACGGUACAUUAUGAAUAAGGAUCGGCUAACUCCGUGCCAGCAGCCGCGGUAAUACGGAGGAUCCGAGCGUUAUCCGGAUUUAUCGGGUUUAAAGGGUGCGUAGGCGGAAAUGUAAGUCAGUGGUGAAAUCCUGCAGCUUAACUGUAGAAUAGCCGUUGAAACUGUGUUUCUUGAGUACAUUUGAGGUAGGCGGAAUGUGGUGUGUAGCGGUGAAAUGCAUAGAUAUACCACAGAACACCGAUUGCGAAGGCAGCUUACUAAACUGUCACUGACGCUGAUGCACGAAAGCGUGGGUAUCAAACAGGAUUAGAUACCCUGGUAGUCCACGCUGUAAACGAUGAUUACUGGUUGUUUGCGAUACACUGCAAGUGACUGAGCGAAAGCAUUAAGUAAUCCACCUGGGGAGUACGUCGGCAACAAUGAAACCCAAAGGAAUGGACGGGGGCCCCCCCAAGCGGAAGAACUUGGGGUUUAAAUUCCAUGAAACGCCAAGGAACCUUACCUGGGUUUAAAUGGCGGAAGGGCGGGGUUGGGAAACAGGUUCUUCUUUCGAAACUCUUUCAAGGGGGUUGGAUGG
rnacentral:rRNA from 1 species